rnacentral:rRNA from 1 species
GACGAACGCUGGCGGCGUGCUUGACACAUGCAAGUCGAACGGAAAGGCCCUGCUUUUGUGGGGUGCUCGAGUGGCGAACGGGUGAGUAACACGUGAGUAACCUGCCCUUGACUUUGGGAUAACUUCAGGAAACUGGGGCUAAUAACGGAUAGGAGCUCCUGCUGCAUGGUGGGGGUUGGAAAGUUUCGGCGGUUGGGGAUGGACUCGCGGCUUAUCAGCUUGUUGGUGGGGUAGUGGCUUACCAAGGCUUUGGCGGGUAGCCGGCCUGAGAGGGUGACCGGCCACAUAGGGACUGAGGUACGGCCCAGACUCCUACGGGAGGCAGCAGUGGAGGAUAUUGCACGAUGGGCGGAAGCCUGAUACAGCAACGCCGCGUGCGGGAUGACGGCCUUCGGGUUGGAAACCGCUUUCGCCUGUGACGAAGCGUGAGUGACGGUAAUGGGUAAAGAAGCACCGGCUAACUACGUG